GCCUUCGUGGUGUAAUGGUUAGCACACUCGGCGAGUAUUCUAGAGAUCCAGGUUCGAAUCCCGGCUUGGGCA
rnacentral:tRNA from 1 species